GAUGAACGCUGGCGGCGUGCCUAAUACAUGCAAGUCGAGCGAACAGACGAGGAGCUUGCUCCUCUGACGUUAGCGGCGGACGGGUGAGUAACACGUGGAUAACCUACCUAUAAGACUGGGAUAACUUCGGGAAACCGGAGCUAAUACCGGAUAACAUGUUGAACCGCAUGGUUUAACAGUGAAAGACGGUCUUGCUGUCACUUACAGAUGGAUCCGCGCCGCAUUAGCUAGUUGGUAAGGUAACGGCUUACCAAGGCAACGAUGCGUAGCCGACCUGAGAGGGUGAUCGGCCACACUGGAACUGAGACACGGUCCAGACUCCUACGGGAGGCAGCAGUAGGGAAUCUUCCGCAAUGGGCGAAAGCCUGACGGAGCAACGCCGCGUGAGUGAAGAAGGUCUUCGGAUCGUAAAACUCUGUUAUUAGGGAAGAACAAAUGUGUAAGUAACUAUGCACGUCUUGACGGUACCUAAUCAGAAAGCCACGGCUAACUACGUG
rnacentral:rRNA from 1 species